UGGGGAAUAUUGCACAAUGGGCGCAAGCCUGAUGCAGCCAUGCCGCGUGUAUGAAGAAGGCCUUCGGGUUGUAAAGUACUUUCAGCGGGGAGGAAGGGAGUAAAGUUAAUACCUUUGCUCAUUGACGUUACCCGCAGAAGAAGCACCGGCUAACUCCGUGCCAGCAGCCGCGGUAAUACGGAGGGUGCAAGCGUUAAUCGGAAUUACUGGGCGUAAAGCGCACGCAGGCGGUUUGUUAAGUCAGAUGUGAAAUCCCCGGGCUCAACCUGGGAACUGCAUCUGAUACUGGCAAGCUUGAGUCUCGUAGAGGGGGGUAGAAUUCAAGGUGUAGCGGUGAAAUGCGUAGAGAUCUGGAGGAAUACCGGUGGCGAAGGCGGCCCCCUGGACGAAGACUGACGCUCAGGUGCGAAAGCGUGGGGAGCAAACAGG
rnacentral:rRNA from 1 species